UACGUAGGGUGCAAGCGUGGUCCGGAAUUAUUGGGCGUAAAGAGCUCGUAGGUGGCGGGUCACGUCGGGUGUGAAAGCCCGGGGCUUAACUCCGGGUCUGCAUUCGAUACGGGUCUGCUGGGGUCCGGCAGGGGAGACUGGAAUUCCUGGUGUAGCGGUGAAAUGCGCAGAUAUCAGGAGGAACACCGGUGGCGAAGGCGGGUCUCUGGGCCGGUACCGACGCUGACGAGCGAAAGCGUGGGGAGCGAACAGG
rnacentral:rRNA from 1 species